GGUACACACCDYCCGUCRCYAUUACCGAYUGGGUGUAUAGGUGAGCCCUCUCGAUAGACGCAAGUCUAGAAAUUGAGCAAACCUUUGCACCUAGAGGAAAUAAAAGUCGYAACAAGGUUUCCGUAGGUGAACCUGCAGAAGGAUCA
rnacentral:rRNA from 1 species